rnacentral:misc_RNA from 1 species
GCGAGUAUGGCCCUCACGGGUCUAAUCCACCAUAAACACCUUUGUGAACCAGUCAGGGGGACUCGGCCGUGAAAAGCCCAGGCGAUUAGCGGAAGGGCCCUCCUUUGCAAACCCGUUUAGAAGUCUUGAAAGUACUUUUGUAUAAUCUAGUAA